UACAGAGGUCCCAAGCGUUGUUCGGAUUCACUGGGCGUAAAGGGUGCGUAGGCGGUCGGGUAAGUCUGCUGUGAAAUCUCACAGCUUAACUGUGAAACUGCAUUGGAUACUAUCCGGCUCGAGGAAUGGAGGGGAGACUGGAAUACUUGGUGUAGCAGUGAAAUGCGUAGAUAUCAAGUGGAACACCAGUGGCGAAGGCGAGUCUCUGGACAUUUCCUGACGCUGAGGCACGAAAGCCAGGGGAGCAAACGGG
rnacentral:rRNA from 1 species